AUGCCCCAAAAUACCUCAAAAAUUGUCCGAAAAAAUACCCCAAAAACUGCCCUUAAAUCAAUCCCAAAAAUGCCCCAAAUACCCCAAAAAUCGCCCCAAAAUCAACCCCAAAAACACCCCAAAAAAAUGCCCCAAAAAUCCCCCAAAAAUAAAAAAAAAUCCCCAAAAAAUCCCAAAAAAUCCCCAAAAAAAUCCCCACAAAAAUCCCCAAAAAAUCAAAAAAAAAUCCCAAAAAAUUCCAAAAAAUCCUCAAAAACCCCCAAAAAAUCCCCAAAAAAUCCAAAAAAAAAUCCCAAAAAAUCCUCAAAAAUUCCCAAAUUCCCCAAAUUUUCCCAAAAUCCCCCCAAUUCCCGCCUUCCCCUCCCCCUCACCUGGCACUCCGGGCUCUCCCAAAAAUCCCAUAAAAAAUCCCAAAAAACCCCAAAAAUUCCCCAAAAAAUCCCAAAAAAAUCCCCCAAAAAUAAAAAAAAAAUCCCCAAAAAAAUCCCAAAAAUUCCCCAAAAAAUCCCAAAAAUUCCCCAAAAAUCCCCCCAAAAUUCCCAAAAAAUCCCAAAAAAAUCCCCAAAAAAUCCCAUAAAAAAUCUCAAAAAAUCCCCCAAAAAUCCCCAAAAAUUCCCAAAAAAAUCCCCAAAAAUUCCCAAAAAAUCCCCACAAAAAUCCCAAAAAAUCCCCAAAAAAUCCCCAAAAAAUCCCAAAAAAUCCUCAAAAAAUCCCCAAAAAAUCCCAAAAAAAUUCCCAAAUAAUCCCCCAAAAAUUCCCAAAAAUUCCCAAAAAUCCCCAAAAAUCCCAAAAAAAUUCCCAAAAAAUCCCCCAAAAUUCCCCAAAAAUUCCCAAAAAAUCCCCAAAAAUCCCCAAAAAAUCCCAAAAAAUCCCCAAAAAAUCCCAAAAAAAUCCCAAAAUUUCCCCAAAAAAACACCAAAAAAAUCCCAAAAAAUCCCCAAAAAAUCAAAAAAAAAUCCCCAAAAAAUCCCCAAAAAAUUCCCAAAAAUCCCCAAAAAAUCCAAAAAAAUCCCCAAAAAAUUCCAAAAAAUCCCCAAAAAAUCCCCAAAAAAUCCCCAAAAAAUCCCCAAAAAUCCCCAAAAAUCCCCAAAAAAUCCCAAAAAAUUCCCAAAAUUCCCAAAUUUUCCCAAAAUCCCCCCAAUUCCCGCCUUCCCCUCCCCCUCACCUGGCACUCCGGGCUCUCCCAAAAAUCCCAUAAAAAACCCCCCAAAAAAUCCCCAAAAAAUCCCCCAAAAAAUCCCAAAAAAUCCACAAAAAAUCCCAUAA
rnacentral:lncRNA from 1 species